CAACAGUGUGCAGAUAAAUUUUGUCGUAGAAUGAUCAAUGGAUUUUCUUGUUGCUUGCGGAGAAAUAAUCAGAAAUAUGAAAUAUGGUGUUAAAAGGAAAUAGACAAAAUUGAGGAGGUCCACAAUACAGGUGAAAAUAGCGAGAAGAAAUUAAAGUAAAGGUUUCAUUUGCAGAUUACAUAAUAAGAACGCUGCUUGUUUCGACAGUUUUUCAUUGCAUCAAAAGAUAAAGACCGAAGAUUCGAAUAAGCAAACGAAACCAAAGAAUGAUCAACUUUCUGAAAACACUGCUUGAAAGUUGGCGGGGCAAUUUAUCAUUGAUCAAAAAAUACGGCAAUGCCAAUUGUCUGGCAUUACAUCACUAAGUGAGCUUGAAGCCUAUCCAAAGAGUCAAGUUUCCUCACUUAUGGAAAUGGAAUCUUGACGACAUUCUCUGUUCACAGAAAAAAAGUUGUAAAUACAACAAGUAUUCAAAUAUAAAUGUGAGUUUGAUCAAAGAUAACUAAGAUUGGCUCACAAAUAAAAUGCAUUGAACCACACUUAUGUGAAAAAGACUGAUCCUGUAUGCAUACAAACGAUUAUAUUCAAAGCUUUAACAUGGGUCGACCCAUCAAGAAUGAACUGUUUAUGUGAUGAUUGCAAACAGAUUCUUGAUUACAAAUCAAAGCAAUUGUGUUUAUUACUUUACAAUACAAUUCCCAUAUUUGAAGUCACAGCAAGAUGAAUAUAAAAUAUAUUUUCAUUGAAAUAUAUUGCAUUAAUGAAUUUCAUAAAAUUCUGAUGUGGAACUUUUAUCACAACACAGUAUUCUUCAUAUCUGCAUAAAAUUUUAUUCAAUCAUUUUAGUUUUAAACAUAUAUAUCUGCAACAGUGUAAUACUUGGGCGUAAAGGCAACGGCGAUCGACAUUUUUGUCAUAUCUAAAUUGUACCAAUGCUGUCCUGACGAAUUGUUAUAUAAAAUAUGUUAUAUAUAUAUUAUUUUAAUAUAUAUAUCACUUGUGAGUUAAAUUGAAGAUUCUAACAAUAUUUUUUUACCAGUUUGUGGCAAAAACCAGAUAGUCUAUCUAUGGUUGUCAAUGCCGCCAUAACACAAAUUUUUUCCUUACUUCAUAUCUUCCAUCAACACUGCUUAUUGAACGUGAGAAAUCUUGUGACAAACCAGGCCGGCAUGGCUUUGUCUCAUCAUCUUCAACGUCAACUUCUUCAAACACUCUACAAAUUACACUUACAGAUACAGGGGUAGGGAGGGGGUUGGGGGUUCUGGGAAAUGGUGGUGGACCCUGGGAGGGAGAGGAAAACACAGCAUUGCAAUCAUAAUUAGGCGAUUUUGGUUUUGUCAAUUCUGAUAUAAAAUAUCCAUAGAUUCUGGUAAUAGGUUGGCAGAUAGAGGUCUUUUUAUUUUUAUUUUCAAAUCAUUAGUAUCAAACGUGACAUUACGGUUGAAUGUCGUUGCCUUCUUUUUUGAAUCAAAAAUUAAUUGACAAGCAAUCUUUUUUACGUGUGUCAAUAUAAAAUAUGGGUGUUUGACAGCCCAUGUGUGCUGGCAGUUCCAGUCCACUUCGGAAAUUGCAUAAAUAUUUCUUUUGAUGUUUGUGAACGAAUUUUCGAAGACAAUCAUAUUACUAUAUCUAUGUACACUGUUUUAUGUUUAUUAUUGAUAUAUUAUAUUUAGGAAUGAAUUAUUUUUAUCUAUCAUGCUAUAUCUUUAUUUAGCUAUCCGUUUUGUCAUAAUCAUUUACUCCAUGCAAUUUCUUUAAGAUAUUUUCAACAGGAAACGAAGAUGUAGUUUACGAGAGCGACAAUGGAAAGGAAAAUUUACAGGGCAUGCCAUGGCUUUUUUAAUUUU